CCUUUUCACCCUUAAAUCCCCGGAAACCCUGUUUGCAAAGAUGACCUCGGAGUGUUACUGGGACAGAGGUGGACCGAGUGACCUCAUACGUGGCGGGGUCGCCUCGUGACCUUUCCGACGCCACAAUUUAGCCUUGAAUUGAGUUUGGGGAGAUUUUUCUGAGUUGGGCGUCAGGGUGGCCACGAGACCCCCCCCCCCCAUACCGCACCCCCCGGACCCCCUUGUUCGGGGCGACCACCCUUCACGUCUGGGAGGCAACUUCCAGCUCACAGUUGUGACAUACCAAUGGGCAGGGUGCAUCUAAUCCAGGGGCACCCUGUUCUCCUUUCUCGCCCUUAGGCCCUUUUUUGCCCUUCUUUCCCUUCUCUCCCUGCGAAUACAACCAUUUGGUCACAUUAAAAAACUUUUGUGGAACAGCAGUGAGAUUAGGAAAAGGGGAGCGAUUAAAGAAGGGGAGCCCACCACAGAGGGAGGUUAGAUUGAUCUCUCGGGCGGGGGGGGGGAGGAAAUAUUACAGUCGGAGGGAGAAGCGGGCCAACUUUUAAGGCUGUCAAGGGCACAAAGGUUGAGAAAGAGUAGCAGGGAGAAUACAGCUAAAAAAGGUUAUCAAUCUUGACAAACAUUUGAGUCAUGCAUUACACCUCAAGUUGGGUUAUCUGGUGCAGUCUAAAUAGGAAAAUAAUGCGUACACAAAAUCAUCUUGACUUUCCAGGACUGGAAGUGGUGAGAUGCAUUGGUGACAAAGAUGGAAGCAGAGAAUCUGCUGUCAAUGGACUUUGGUUGGAAUGACGAUGAGAGGUCGCCUUUCUCGCCUCUCAACCCGGGCAACCCCUGGAAGAGGGCAGCGUUAUUCAUCACAACAAAACAAACACAUACAGCAAACACGGACUGGAACGUUGCGUCCCACUUCGAAGGACGGGAUCGCAGGUCCUAGAAAUCUUCAAAUUUCCAGAAAGUUUCUUUUUAAAUCACGCUUGCUAAUUCCGAUGGAAUGUAAACAUGAAAAUCAAUUAAAAAUAUUU